GGUCAAGUUACUAAGGGUGUAUGGGGGAUGUCUAGGCGUCGAGAGGCGAUGAAGGACGUGGCAGGCUGCGAUAAGCCCGGGGCAGGAGCCGAGCAUCCGUUAAUCCCGGGAUCUCCGAAUGGGGAAACCCGGCGUCACUGGGCAACCAGAUGGCGUCAUCCCUGGCUGAAUGCAUAGGCCAGUGGAAGCGAACGCAGGGAACUGAAACAUCUAAGUACCUGUAGGAAAGGAAAUCAACCGAGACUCCGUAAGUAGCGGCGAGCGAAAGCGGAACAGCCCAAACCCAGCACCUACUUUGCUCAGCAAACUUAAAUCCUAAUCUCUAAACACUAAACAAUAUCAAAUUACCAAAAUUCAAAUGUUCUAAACAAAAAGUUUUGAGAAUUUGAACAUUAGGAUUUUGAAUUUGUUUAGGAUUUAUUCUUUUCUGGUCAAAGUAGGUGCUGGGGGUUGCGGGCGCCGGUAAACAGUUACAAAGGCAUCGCAAGCAGAACGGUCUGGAAAGUCCGACCACAGAAGGUGAUAGUCCUGUAUGCCAAAGCGAGAGCCCUGUGUUACUGCCGGCGUUCCAGAGUAGCACGGAGCUCGUGGAACUCUGUGUGAAUCCGGGGGGCCCACCCUCCAAGGCUAAGUACUACUCGACGACCGAUAGUGAAAAGUAAGGUGACUGAACGAUGAAAAGUACCCCUAUUAGGGGAGUUAAAAGUACCUGAAACCAUACACCUACAAGCUGUGGGAGCCCUAUGACGCACUGUUCGCAGUGCGUAAUGGGUGACCGCGUGCCUUUUGCAUAAUGAGCCGGCGAGUUACCGUUUGUGGCAAGGUUAAGCAGUUAAGCUGUGGAGCCGUAGCGAAAGCGAGUCUUAACAGGGCGUCUUAGUCGCAGGUGGUAGACGCGAAGCCAGGUGAUCUACCCAUGGCCAGGUUGAAGGGGAUGUAAAAAUCCCUGGAGGACCGAACCCACUAACGUUGAAAAGUUAGGGGAUGAGCUGUGGGGAGGAGUAAAAGUCUAAUCAAACCUGGAGAUAUCUCGUUCUCUCCGAAAUAGCUUUAGGGCUAGCCUUGAGCCACUACUUUACGGGGGUAGAGCUACUGAAUGGGGAUGGGGGGCCACCAGCCUACUCACCCCAACCAAACUCCGAAUACCGUAAAGACUAUCUCAGGAGUCAGACUGUGGGGGAUAACCUCCAUGGUCAAGAGGGAAACAACCCAGACCGCCAGCUAAGGUCCCGAAGUUUUGCUAAGUUCUUAAGGAAGUUGAAUUGCUGUGACAGCCAGGAUGUUGGCUUAGAAGCAGCCACCAUUUAAAAAGUGCGUAAUAGCUUACUGGUCGAGCAGUUUGGCGCCGAUAAUGACCGGGAAUAAGCAAGACACCGAAGCUGCGGCUCUUUGGAGCCUUCGGGCAACGAAGGGGGUAGGAGAGCGUUGCUGUCAGCAUUGAAGCCGUACGGAAACGAGCGGUGGAGCGUCAGCAAGUGAUUAUGCCGGCAUGAGUAACGAUAAAACAGGUGAGAAUCCUGUUCGCCGAAAGCCUAAGGUUUCCUGGGGAAGGUAAAUCCGCCCAGGGUUAGUCGGCCCCUUAGUCGAGGCCGAAAGGCGUAGACGAUGGACAGCAGGUUAAUAUUCCUGCACUAUGUACCGAAGGUUAUAACUGUGGGGGUGACGCAGUAGCAAAAGCUGGAAGCUGAUUAGUCGUGGCUAUCCUGCUGGAGGAGUCGUCGGUAGGCAAAUCCGCCGGCACAAAGACUCUGAAGGACGGCGAGGGACGAUUUAAGAUUCCUGAGCAGCCGAAGUUACUGCCGAGAAAAACCUCAAACAGGACAACGGUGCGUAUCCGUACUAAAACUGACACAGGUAGGCGAGGAGAAUAUCCUCAGGCGCUCGAGAGAACCGUCCUUAAGGAACUCGGCAAAUUGACCCCGUAAGUUUGCGAUAAGGGGUCCCUCCAGGCGCAUUUAAUUUCGAUUGGAUGCGUGCUGAGGGCGCAGUGAAGUGGCUCUGGCGACUGUUUAUCAAAAACACAGUUCUCUGCUAACACUUAAAGUGGAUGUAUAGAGAAUGACGCCUGCUCGGUGCCGGAAGGUUAACGAAGCAGGUCAUCCCCUUCGGGGGAGAAGCUUGCGACCGAAGCCCCGGUAAACGGCGGCCGUAACUAUGACGGUCCUAAGGUAGCGAAGUUCCUUGUCGGGUAAGUUCCGACGUGCAUGAACGGCGUAACGACUGGAGCACUGUCUCAAGGACGGACUCGGUGAAAUUGUAAUUGUGGUGAAGAUACCACAUACCCGCGGCAAGACGGAAAGACCCCGUGAACCUUUACUGUAGCCUGGUAUUGAUGCCUGGCAUAUCUUGCGUAGGAUAGGUGGGAGGCGUUGAAGUUCCGAUUUCGGUCGGGAUGGAGCCACCCUUGAAAUACCACCCUUGCUAUGUUAGUCACCUAACCAUGACCCGUGAAUCCGGGCAUGGGACCGUGCCAGGUGGGCAGUUUGACUGGGGCGGUCUCCUCCUAAAGAGUAACGGAGGAGUUCAAAGGUACACUCAGCGUGGUUGGCAAUCACGUUUAGAGCAUAAGGGUAUAAGUGUGCUUAACUGCGAGACUUAUCAGUCGAGCAGAUGCGAAAGCAGGACCUAAUGAUCCGGUGGUUCCGUGUGGAAGGGCCAUCGCUCAACAGAUAAAAGGUACUCCGGGGAUAACAGGCUUAUCGCCUCCGAGCGUUCAUAGCGGCGAGGCGGUUUGGCACCUCGAUGUCGGCUCAUCACAUCCUGGGGCUGUAGGCGGUCCCAAGGGUUGGGCUGUUCGCCCAUUAAAGUGGUACGCGAGCUGGGUUCAGACCGGCGCGAGCCAGGUCGGUCCCUAUCUGCCGUGGGCGCAGGAAUCUUGCAGGAGAUGCUUCUUUAGUACGAGAGGAUUAGGAAGCACUGACCGCUGGUGUACCGGUUGUCCCGCUAGGGGCACCGCCGGGUAGCUAAGUCGGGAAAGGAUAACCGCUGAAAGCAUCUAAGUGGGAAGCCCCCUCCAAGAUUAGGAUUCCAUCGCACCUUCGGGUGCGUGAAGAGCCCUGAUAGACUAUCAGGUUGAUAGGCCGGGUGUGUAAGCACAGAAAUGUGUUAAGCUAACCGGUACUAACGCUCGAAUACUUGACCAU
rnacentral:rRNA from 1 species